rnacentral:rRNA from 1 species
UACGAAGGGGGCUAGCGUUGCUCGGAAUCACUGGGCGUAAAGCGCACGUAGGCGGAUUGCUAAGUCAGGGGUGAAAUCCUGGAGCUCAACUCCAGAACUGCCUUUGAUACUGGCGACCUUGAGUCCGGGAGAGGUGAGUGGAACUGCGAGUGUAGAGGUGAAAUUCGUAGAUAUUCGCAAGAACACCCGUGGCGAAGGCGGCUCUCUGGGACGGUACUGACGCUGAGACGCGAAAGCGUGGGGAGCGAACAGG